CCCCGUCCCCGUCUCGUCUCCGUCCUCGUCCCGUGCAAAUCCCACCGAGAGCUGCAACCCAUCCACAAACGGCGGCGACCGAGGGAGACGCCGGCGAGAGGGGCGGCGAGCGAGACCUGUGGGAGGGCUGCGAGAGCUACGAGAGGGGCGGAUAAAGGGGAGGUUCGUCCUCGGCGUCUCACCGGCGAAGCCAAUCAUGGAUCCCGCCUAGCCGCUCCACGUCGCCGCCAUCGUUCUUGCCAUCUGACCGGCGACGGCACCUCCCGCCAUACCUAUACUCCGAUCUGGCCCUAUCUCCGCUGAGAACACAACUUAGUGUCCCAUCGGCUGUCAGAUUCCAACAACGGCUGCUAGAUACCUUCAACUGAAUUAAUUAGUUGGUGUGGAUGGUGGCAUCGCUCAGUUUCUCCUGGUAUAAUUUAUGUCCGUCGAGGACAAUGAUGGCAGUGCACUAACUUGGCUUCGCAUUGAGAUGGCCAACUUACCAUGAUGGCAGGUUUUAUCUUCCAAAAGCCUCCAUGAGCCACUGCUUCCGUCUACCGUGGCGCUCUGAUGGCACCUGAGAUGUGUGCUCGCUUCAGAUGUUGGUCUAAGGACUGUGUUUGUUGUUGAUUGGUGCAACUUGUUAUAACAUUUUGUAGUGGCAUGGUUGGUCAACAUUGCCAUGUUCUUUUUUGUCGGUGAUGGGAAUUGUGACAACAUGAGUUCCUUUUCCAUGAGUCUAACUUUACUUAGUCUUUUAGCACAAACAUAUGUAUCAUUUAUCCUGGAUUUUCGGCUUUUAAUGCCACUGUCGCAUUGCACGUGAUACUCAGGGACAUGCGCAAAAAACUCAAAUAAGCUUCAGUUCAUAUUUCAA